AAUGUUAUGCUAUGAUGAUUUUACGAGUAGGAAUCUCACUGAGCUUCAGUCAUUCGUUGCCAUGAAAUAAACUUAAUCUCUACUGAUUCUAUUAUU